UAACGUCAGCGGCAGACGGGUGAGUAACGCGUGGGGACAUACCUUUUGGUUCGGAACAACACAGGGAAACUUGUGCUAAUACCGGAUAAGCCCUUACGGGGAAAGAUUUAUCGCCGAAAGAUUGGCCCGCGUCUGAUUAGCUAGUUGGUGAGGUAACGGCUCACCAAGGCGACGAUCAGUAGCUGGUCUGAGAGGAUGAUCAGCCACAUUGGGACUGAGACACGGCCCAA
rnacentral:rRNA from 1 species